rnacentral:rRNA from 1 species
AAUGAACGCUGGCGGCAGGCCUAACACAUGCAAGUCGAACGGGUCCUUCGGGACUAGUGGCGGACGGGUGAGUAACGCGUGGGAACGUGCCCCUUGGUACGGAAUAGCCCCGGGAAACUGGGAGUAAUACCGUAUGUGGUCGAGAGACGAAAGAUUUAUCGCCAAGGGAUCGGCCCGCGUUGGAUUAGGUAGUUGGUGGGGUAAUGGCCUACCAAGCCGACGAUCCAUAGCUGGUUUGAGAGGAUGAUCAGCCACACUGGGACUGAGACACGGCCCAGACUCCUACGGGAGGCAGCAGUGGGGAAUCUUAGACAAUGGGGGAAACCCUGAUCUAGCCAUGCCGCGUGAUCGAUGAAGGCCUUAGGGUUGUAAAGAUCUUUCAGGUGGGAAGAUAAUGACUGUACCACCAGAAGAAGCCCCGGCUAACUCCGUGCCAGCAGCCGCAGUAACAC